ACCGCAUAAGAUAGUAGAAUGGCAUCAUUCAGCUAUUAAAGAUUUAUUGGAUAAGGAUGGCCAUGCGUAAGAUUAGAUAGUUGGCGAGGUAACGGCUCACCAAGUCUACGAUCUUUAGGGGCUCUGAGAGGAGAAUCCCCCACACUGGCACUGAGAUACGGGCCAGACUCCUACGGGAGGCAGCAGUAGGGAAUAUUGGGCAAUGGGCGGAAGCCUGACCCAGCCACGCCGCGUGCAGGAAGACGGCCCUCUGGGUUGUAAACUGCUUUUAACUGGGAAGAAAGCAGCUCAUGCGUGAGAAUUUGACGGUACCAGUUGAAUAAGCCACGGCUAACUACGUGCCAGCAGCCGCGGUAAUACGUAGGUGGCGAGCGUUAUCCGGAUUUAUUGGGUUUAAAGGGAGCGUAGGCGGCUGAUUAAGUCAGCGGUGAAAGGUAGCAGCUUAACUGUUUUACAUGCCGUUGAUACUGGUUAGCUUGAGUUGACAGAAGGCAGAUAGAAUUCCUGAUGUAGCGGUGAAAUGCUUAGAUAUCAGGAGGAAUACCGAUUGCGAAGGCAGUCUGCUGCAGUCACACUGACGCUGAGGCUCGAAGGUGCGGGGAUCAAACAGGAUUAGAUACCCUGGUAGUCCGCACAGUAAACGAUGAUUACUAGAU
rnacentral:rRNA from 1 species